UUAAAUUGAAGAGUUUGAUCAUGGCUCAGAUUGAACGCUGGCGGCAGGCCUAACACAUGCAAGUCGAACGGUAACAGGAAACAGCUUGCUGAUUUGCUGACGAGUGGCGGACGGGUGAGUAAUGUCUGGGAAACUGCCUGAUGGAGGGGGAUAACUACUGGAAACGGUAGCUAAUACCGCAUAAUGUCGCAAGACCAAAGAGGGGGACCUUCGGGCCUCUUGCCAUCGGAUGUGCCCAGAUGGGAUUAGCUAGUAGGUGGGGUAACGGCUCACCUAGGCGACGAUCCCUAGCUGGUCUGAGAGGAUGACCAGCCACACUGGAACUGAGACACGGUCCAGACUCCUACGGGAGGCAGCAGUGGGGAAUAUUGCACAAUGGGCGCAAGCCUGAUGCAGCCAUGCCGCGUGUAUGAAGAAGGCCUUCGGGUUGUAAAGUACUUUCAGCGGGGAGGAAGGGAGUAAAGUUAAUACCUUUGCUCAUUGACGUUACCCGCAGAAGAAGCACCGGCUAACUCCGUGCCAGCAGCCGCGGUAAUACGGAGGGUGCAAGCGUUAAUCGGAAUUACUGG
rnacentral:rRNA from 1 species